rnacentral:rRNA from 1 species
UUGCACUCAACUGGAAAGAGGAGUGGCGGACGGGUGAGUAACACGUGGUAACCUACCCAUCAGAGGGGGAUAACACUUGGAAACAGGUGCUAAUACCGCAUAACAGUUUAUGCCGCAUGGCAUAAGAGUGAAAGGCGCUUUCGGGUGUCGCUGAUGGAUGGACCCGCGGUGCAUUAGCUAGUUGGUGAGGUAACGGCUCACCAAGGCCACGAUGCAUAGCCGACCUGAGAGGGUGAUCGGCCACACUGGGACUGAGACACGGCCCAGACUCCUACGGGAGGCAGCAGUAGGGAAUCUUCGGCAAUGGACGAAAGUCUGACCGAGCAACGCCGCGUGAGUGAAGAAGGUUUUCGGAUCGUAAAACUCUGUUGUUAGAGAAGAACAAGGACGUUAGUAACUGAACGUCCCCUGACGGUAUCUAACCAGAAAGCCACGGCUAACUACGUGCCAGCAGCCGCGGUAAUACGUAGGUGGCAAGCGUUGUCCGGAUUUAUUGGGCGUAAAGCGAGCGCAGGCGGUUUCUUAAGUCUGAUGUGAAAGCCCCCGGCUCAACCGGGGAGGGUCAUUGGAAACUGGGAGACUUGAGUGCAGAAGAGGAGAGUGGAAUUCCAUGUGUAGCGGUGAAAUGCGUAGAUAUAUGGAGGAACACCAGUGGCGAAGGCGGCUCUCUGGUCUGUAACUGAC